rnacentral:rRNA from 1 species
AGAGUUUGAUCCUGGCUCAGGAUGAACCCCUAAAGGAAGGCUUAACACAUGCAAGUCGAGGGGCAGCGGAGAGUAGCAAUACUCUGCCGGCGACCGGCGAAAGGGUGCGUAACGCGUGAGCAACUUGCCCGUAUCCGGGACAUAAGCGGUGGAAACGCCGUCUAAUUUCCCAUAACAACGAGGGCCGCAUGACCCAUGUUUGAAAGAUCCGUCGGAUACGGAUGGGCUCGCGAGACAUUAGCUAGUCGGCGUGGUAACGGCACACCGAGGCGACGAUGUCUAGGGGUUCUGAGAGGAAGGUCCCCCACACUGGAACUGAGACACGGUCCAGACUCCUACGGGAGGCAGCAGUGAGGAAUAUUGGUCAAUGGGCGCAAGCCUGAACCAGCCAUGCCGCGUGAAGGAAUAAGGCCCUAUGGGUCGUAAACUUCUUUUGUGGUGGAGCAAUAAGGUGCACGUGUGCAUCGAUGAGAGUACAUCACGAAUAAGCAUCGGCUAACUCCGUGCCAGCAGCCGCGGUAAUACGGAGGAUGCAAGCGUUAUCCGGAUUUAUUGGGUUUAAAGGGUGCGUAGGCUGUUCGACAAGUCAGGGGUGAAAGCCCAGUGCCUAACACUGGAACUGCCUUUGAUACUGCCGAGCUGGAAUACGGAUGCCGUGGGAGGAAUGAGUAGUGUAGCGGUGAAAUGCAUAGAUAUUACUCAGAACACCGAUUGCGAAGGCAUCUCACGAAUCCGUCAUUGACGCUGAGGCACGAAAGCGUGGGGAUCAAACAGGAUUAGAUACCCUGGUAGUCCACGCAGUAAACGAUGAUAACUAACCGUUCGGGCGAUACACAGUCGGUGGCCAAGCGAAAGCGAUAAGUUAUCCACCUGGGGAGUACGUUCGCAAGAAUGAAACUCAAAGGAAUUGACGGGGGCCCGCACAAGCGGAGGAACAUGUGGUUUAAUUCGAUGAUACGCGAGGAACCUUACCCGGGCUCGAACGGCAAGUGAAGGAUCAAGAGAUUGUGACGCCCUUCGGGGCACUUGUCGAGGUGCUGCAUGGUUGUCGUCAGCUCGUGUCGUGAGAUGUUGGCUUAAGUGCCAUAACGAGCGCAACCCUUGUCGCCAGUUACCAGCAAGUCAUGUUGGGGACUCUGGCGAGACUGCCACCGCAAGGUGUGAGGAAGGCGGGGAUGACGUCAAAUCAGCACGGCCCUUACGUCCGGGGCGACACACGUGUUACAAUGGCAACUACAGAGGGAAGCCACCUGGUGACAGGGAGCAGAUCUCGAAAAGUUGUCUCAGUUCGGAUUGGAGUCUGCAACUCGACUCCAUGAAGCUGGAUUCGCUAGUAAUCGCGCAUCAGCCAUGGCGCGGUGAAUACGUUCCCGGGCCUUGUACACACCGCCCGUCAAGCCAUGAAAGCCGGGGGUGCCUGAAGUCCGUGACCGAAAGGAGCGGCCUAGGGCAAGAAUGGUAAUUGGGGCUAAGUCGUAACAAGGUAGCCGUACCGGAAGGUGUGGCUGGAUCACCUCCUUUCU